rnacentral:rRNA from 1 species
GACGAACCGUGCGAACGUUGUUCGGAAUCACUGGGCUUAAAGGGCGCGUAGGCGGGCCACCCAGUCCGGGGUGAAAUCUUUCGGCUCAACCGGAAAAGGGCCUUGGAUACUGGUGGUCUGGAGGAAGGUAGGGGCAUGCGGAGCUUCCGGUGGAGCGGUGAAAUGCGUUGAUAUCGGAAGGAACGCCGGUGGCGAAAGCGGCGUGCUGGACCUUUGCUGACGCUGAUGCGCGAAAGCCAGGGGAGCGAACGGG